UGCUAGGAAGAAGGACGCCUCAGUCGCCAGGCCGCUUCCGGUGUGUCACUGAAAGCCUUCCCAGUACCAGCAGCCGGAGGAUCUGUUUUUGGUGGGACCUAGGAUACUCAGGCGGGGUGUGCGGAGCGCUUGACCUUCCACAGUGUCCGGCACACGCAGGCUUUUCGACAUCAUCACCUGACCUGCUGCAAUAGGAAGCUCAAGGAGAUAUGCACCUGCGAAUUAGCAUGAACCCACGCAGGUCUUCCUGGCUCAGAGUUCCAGCUUCGCACCACUGUGUCCCACUGAAACAAUGAAGCACAAACUGGAAGAAGAAAGAUGUGAGAUGUGAAUACUCAACAAAAUUUUUGAUACAGGGAAGGCUUUUCAAAUUAAGAAAUGAUGAACAUUUUUCAUAAAGUUGAUUACAUGAAAUUUAAAGCCUUCAAGAAAGAUCAAAGACUAUAGACCACUCACUUCCUGACUGACCUUUUCCUGGCCAAAAGCUUCU